CUUUCAAGUGAUGGUGUUUGUCUUCCCCAGUAACUAUUAUGUGUGAUAGGACCCUGCUCUCCUGGAAGUGGCUGAACACCUGCCUGCCCAUGGGAAAUGAUUCAACUGUGAUAAUUCCCUGGGACAUUCACAUCAAGCCUGAAGGUAUUCAUCUCGUGUUGAUGAGUCAUAAUGGACCAUAAUGAACUCAUAAUGGACAUAAGAGACAGCUACAGCUGCAACAUCUUAGAAAGUGUCAAAGACUCCUAAGUAUCCUGUGACUCACAGUAUUACAUCAUCCAGGCUUCCACCACUACCUUGACAGUUCCAGACUGCAACCACCACUUGGACAGGUUUUCAAACACCACUUCAACCAAUGAACAUUGAAAUUGCAACAACCAAGUCUCAUAAUUGAAUCCAAUGGGUGUGCUGUGGAUCCUUCCAGUCACGUGAGGGGUCUGCAGCCCUGCUCCAACUGCCCGUGCUAGCACCGCAGCCUCACUCCAGCACCACACAAGUG